GACGAACGCUGGCGGCGUGCUUAACACAUGCAAGUCGAACGGAAAGGCCCUGCUUUUGUGGGGUGCUCGAGUGGCGAACUGGUGAGUAGCACGUGAGUAACCUGCCCUUGACUUUGGGAUAACUUCAUGAAACUGGGGCUAAUACCGGCUAGGAGCUCCUGCUGCUUGGUGGGGGUUGGAAAGUUUCGGCGGUUGGGGAUGGACUCGCGGCUUAUCAGCUUGUUGGUGGGGUAGUGGAUUACCAAGGCUUUGACGGGUAGCCGGCCUGAGAGGGUGACCGGCCAAAUUGGGACUGAGAUACGGCCCAGACUCCUACGGGAGGCAGCAGUGGGGAAUAUUGCACAAUGGGCGGAAGCCUGAUGCAGCAACGCCGCGUGCGGGAUGACGGCAUUCGGGUUGUAAACCGAUGUCGCCUGUGACGAAGCGUGAGUGACGGUAAUGGGUAAAGAAGCACCGGCUAACUACGUG
rnacentral:rRNA from 1 species